AUACGUAGGGGGCGAGCGUUGUCCGGAAUUACUGGGCGUAAAGAGCUCGUAGGUGGUUUGUCGCGUCGUCUGUGAAAUUCCGGGGCUUAACUCCGGGCGUGCAGGCGAUACGGGCAUAACUUGAGUACUGUAGGGGAGACUGGAAUUCCUGGUGUAGCGGUGAAAUGCGCAGAUAUCAGGAGGAACACCGGUGGCGAAGGCGGGUCUCUGGGCAGUAACUGACGCUGAGGAGCGAAAGCAUGGGUAGCGAACAGGAUUAGAUACCCUGGUAGUCCAUGCCGUAAACGGUGGGCGCUAGGUGUAGGGGUCUUCCACGACUUCUGUGCCGUAGCUAACGCAUUAAGCGCCCCGCCUGGGGAGUACGGCCGCAAGGCUAAAACUCAAAUGAAUUGACGGGG
rnacentral:rRNA from 1 species